GACCGCUCCGGUGGCAUAAUGGUUAGAGCGACCGUCUCAGAUGCGGAACUGUGGGUUCGAUCCCCAGCCGAGUCA